rnacentral:misc_RNA from 1 species
GAUGAAGAACGUAGCGAAAUGCGAUAAGUAAUGUGAAUUGCAGAAUUCAGUGAAUCAUCGAAUCUUUGAACGCACAUUGCGCCCGCCAGUAUUCUGGCGGGCAUGCCUGUUCGAGCGUCAUUACAACCCUCAGGCCCCCGGGCCUGGCGUUGGGGAUCGGCGGAGCCCCCCGUGGGCACACGCCGUCCCCCAAAUACAGUGGCGGUCCCGCCGCAGCUUCCAUCGCGUAGUAGCUAACACCUCGCGACUGGAGAGCGGCGCGGCCACGCCGUAAACACCCAACUCUUCUGAAGUUGACCUCGAAUCAGGUAGGAAUACCCGCUGAACUUAAGCAUAUCAAUAAGCGGAGGA